AUUGGGGUGCCUAGGGGGGUACCUAAUGAAUUUAAAGCUAGAGAUGAAGUAGCUGCAGGUUUUGAAUCACUUUUUACCAUAGUCACUGCCAACAAAAACCUUAAUUGGAUUAAUUAUAUCUAUUACAACCAACAGCGCUUCGUGAACUACACCAGGGAUGCCCUCCAGGGCUUGGCCGAGCAAUUACAGGCCACAUCCCAAAUGACCUUCCAGAACAGACUGGCCUUAGACAUGAUCUUAGCCGAAAAAGGGGGGGUCUGUAAAAUACUUCCCGACACUAUGACUUGUUGCACUUACAUCCCAGAAAACACAGGUCCUAAUGGUAAAGUCACUCUGGCCAUAGCUAAAUUAAAUAGACUCUCAGAAGAGUUAAAGAGAAACUCUGGAGUUACUGAUCCCUGGGAAAAAUGGUUUGGUUGGAUGACUGGUUGGCAGAGAGCUUUAGUCCAGAUUGGUAUUGCCUUACUAAUUUUUCUUUUUAUUCUCGCUCUUCUCAUUUGUUGUGUCCUCCCAUGCCUAAGGAAAUUCCUGC